rnacentral:siRNA from 1 species
CAUUUAACUCUCUCCAUCAUUCAA